AGUGAACGCUGGCGGUAGGCCUAACACAUGCAAGUCGAACGGCAGCACAGGAGAGCUUGCUCUCUGGGUGGCGAGUGGCGGACGGGUGAGGAAUACAUCGGAAUCUACUCUGUCGUGGGGAUAACGUAGGGAAACUUACGCUAAUACCGCAUACGACCUACGGGUGAAAGCAGGGGAUCUUCGGACCUUGCGCGAUUGAAUGAGCCGAUGUCGGAUUGGCUAGUUGGCGGGGUAAAGGCCCACCAAGGCGACGAUCCGUAGCUGGUCUGAGAGGAUGAUCAGCCACACUGGAAAUGGGAAACGGGCCAGACUCCUACGGGAGGCAGCAGUGGGGAAUAUUGGACAAUGGGCGCAAGCCUGAUCCAGCCAUACCGCGUGGGUGAAGAAGGCCUUCGGGUUGUAAAGCCCUUUUGUUGGGAAAGAAAUCUAGCUGGCUAAUACCCGGUUGGGAUGACGGUACCCAAAGAAUAAGCACCGGCUAACUUCGUGCCAGCCGCCGCGGUAA
rnacentral:rRNA from 1 species